rnacentral:lncRNA from 10 species
AGGUUAAUGAAUAACCUCUAAAGGAAGUUACUUCACAUAAUGACAGCAAUUUCUCUGAACUAAAUGUUAAUUAAUAAGGCCUGUAAUACUAUGAGAAGGAAAUGGUGGCAAUUGGCAAAUGGAACUCUGUUGCUUGGUAACAAAACCUGAGAAAUAAUCAAAACCCUCUGCACUCACUCAGAAGUGUCCAUAAGUCCUGUUCAAGUAAUCUUAAAAGAGACUGUUCCAAUAUUCGAUCUGCCUCGUUCAACAAGGCAAAAAGGUGAGGAAGCAGAGAAUUAUUUUUGAAUGGCUACUGCUUAAAGAGUUGCCUGCGUGAGGUUUGGUGGCAAGAAGCAGAAGUCAGAGCCUGUGGUUCCUGUUGCUCUUCGGCGGUAUGAAAGAGAGAAGAAGGCGUGCUUCAUUAUAUGAAGCUUUGCUCCUAAGGUGGAGUCUUGCUGCAUCACCAAGGCUGGAGUGCACUGGCACAAUCUCGGCUCACUGCAACCUCCUCCUCCCAGGUUCAAACAAUUCUGUCUCAGCCUCCCAAGUAGCUGGGACUACAGGUGCCUGCCACCACGCCUGGCUGAUUUUUGUAUUUUUAGUAGAGACAGGGUUUCACCUUGUUGGUCAGGCUGGUCUCAAACUCCUAACCUCAAGUGAUCCACCCGCGUCGGCCUCCCAAAGUGCUGAGAUUACAGGCGUGAGCCACCGUGCCCCACCAAUGCUACUGAUUUUUGUAUCCUGCAACUUUACCAAAUUCAUUUUUUUGGUUCUAAAUGUUUUUUGUGGAUCUUUGAGGCCUUCUACAUAAAGGAUAAUAUCUCAAAUAGGGAUAAUUUUGCUUCAUCUUUCUGAAUUUAGAUGCCUUUUUUUCUUCUCUGAUUGCCCUUGUUAGUACUUCUAAUACUACAUUGAAUAGAAGUGGUGAGAGGGGGCAUCCCUGUAUUGUACUGAUCUUAUUAGAAAAGCUUUCAUUUGUACCUGUUGAUUAUGAUCUUAGCUGUGAGCUUUUCAUAAAUGGUCCCUAUUAUUUUGAGGACCUUUCCUUCUAUAUCUAAACUGUUAAGAGUUUGUAUCAAGAAAGGAUACUGAAUUUUGUCAAAUAGUUUUUCUGCAUCAAUUGAGAGGUUCAUGUGGUUUUUCUCUUUUAGUCUUUUAAUAGAUGUGUUACAUUGAUUGACUUGCAUGCCAUGCAUAAAUCCCACUUGUACACCACAGGGAAAUCCCACUUGGUUCCGAUGUAUAACCUUCCUGAUGUGUUGUUGAAUCUGGUUUGCUAAUAUUUUAUUGAAGAUUUUAGUAUCAAAGUUCAAGACUUAUUGGCCUGUAGGUUUUUUUUACUUGAAGUAUCUUUGUCUGGCUUAGGUAUCAAGGUGACACUGGCCUCAUGAAAUAUAUUUGGAAGUAUUCCCUCUAGCUCUAUUUUUUUUUUUGGAAGAGUUUAAGAAGUAUUGGUAAUAAUUCUUUUUUAAAUGUUUUGUGAACUUCUUCUCUGAAGUCAUCUGGUUCAGUGCUUUUCAUUGCUGGAAGGUGUUUAAUUACUUUAAUAUCUUUGUUAUUGGUUUGUUCGAG